rnacentral:rRNA from 1 species
CAGCCGUAAACUAAUGCUCGCUAGGUGUCAGGCAUGGCGCGACCGUGUCUGGUGCCGCAGGGAAGCCGUGAAGCGAGCCACCUGGGAAGUACGGCCGCAAGGCUGAAACUUAAAGGAAUUGGCGGGGGAGCACAACAACGGGUGGAGCCUGCGGUUUAAUUGGACUCAACGCCGGACAACUCACCGGGGACGACAGCAAUAUGUAGGCCAGGCUGAAGACCUUGCCUGACUAGCUGAGAGGUGGUGCAUGGCGUAGACGUCU